GACACUUUGGCCGAGUGGUUAAGGCGAUGCCCUGCUAUCGAUGCGUUAGCUGCCAGGCAUUACAUUCGUGUGCGCAGGUUCGAAUCCUGCAGGCGUCG